CUGGCUGCGGCAUUGCCAUCCUCCCUCCUGCAGGUCAGCGCUGCGUCCGCUCCCAAAGCUGCUGUGCCGGCUCGAGUCUAAGCCUCUGCACCUGGGCAGUGGGGAUGGGCGACUAAACCCAGCUUGCUUAAGCUCAUGCUGCCACACCGUACCUUAAAAACAAGGAAGAUGUGGAAUCCUCUCAUGACAAAAUUAAUGUUCUGAACUGCAGCAAAUGCCUCGACAAUCAAAGUUAUGUUCCAGCAAAGCACUAACAAUAAUCCCCUACACUGCUGUGGCAAGGCCCUGAGUUGUGUUAUACAUACUCUUUUUUUUUUCCUAGUUGAAAAGGAGAGGAAAGAAUUAGGCUCAUUUACUAAGUUCAAUAACAGCAAAGGAAUGGGUACCUUUAAAAAAAAUAACAGUAUUUCAAUGCAAAUAUAAAUUUAUCACAAGCUUCCUGAGGCACACGCAGCAUAAAGGCAGUAUCACUGCAGAGAAGGUAUCUGCUUUCAAGGGGAUUUGCAUUCUCAUUGAAUGCUGGACCAGGUCCAGACCAGCCGGAGGAUAACCACCCUCUAACCUCCCUGCGGAGACUUACAGAGACGAGACUGAAGCAGUAUCAUUUCUGACAGAAAUCAAAUCCUGGCUACUGCACUGCUGGGAACACUACAGACAGGAAAUAAAAAAAAUAGGGAGGAAUUGGAAUGAAGACAAUUCUGUGAAGCUCAUUUAGGUAAUACCAUGUCAAAGGACCUGAUAUGGGAACACACUGCAUACUUACUGAAUGAAUGCAGAAGUUAAGCGUCUCCUAGCAUAAAAUAUUAUUUUAACAAAUGGACAUGCAAAUGUUAAAGCUGACCAGUUACAGACCAUGGGCUCAGUUGCAUGCCUAGGUUAACCAAGCUAAAUAAUACAUCUACUCAAAUCAUACAUGAAACCACAAAGAGCAUUCAAAAACCACAAUUUUGUUCAAAUUCUCAUCAGUCACAGCACUAACAUUUCAGAGGACAGGAUAAUUCCUAGUGAUGUGUCUCCAAAGAUUCAAAGACAAGUGACCUUAAUGGAAGCUUAUGAAUAUUAGGAUAUUGCAUUACAGGUGCUGGGCACAUAUUCAGAUAUUCAGUACCUCCUUCUUGAUGUAAUGCACCCAGAGACAUAGAUAAGAAAAUCCCAGGACAGACUGAUGAGCAGCUUCUAGGUAUUCCCUCUCUUGCUGUACUCAUUCUGAUGUAGUGGUAGAAACCUUUGAGCAGCCACACAGAACAAACUGGAUCAUAGAAAUUGUAAGCAAUUUUGGAGUGCCAGCAAAGCACAGGAGGCAGCACAGGAAUGGGAGCAAAAUGACCGCACAAGGCAGCAACCACUCAGUUCUGCCAAUCUGGCCAAUAAAUGAGUAAUCUUCAUAUAUUGUGUUCAGGGUCAGUAAGCUCUAAGACUGUCCCAAAAGAAGAAGCAUCUGAAUUGUAUUAAACCUACAGAGACCCUUAGCUGUGGCUGGACUGUCUGUGAAAAUAUGUCUAGACUACAAGAAAAUGUAACGUUUUAGAAUGUCCUAGUUGGCUUAUUUAAGCUGUAAUACUAGCAACCCAAAUUACAGAUAUGUCGAACCCAAAAGACAGACAAAUAUAAAACCAUUACCAAAACAUUAUAUGCAAUUUAUUUUUCAACUGAUACCUAAAUCUGUACUUCUUUAAGCCACAGUUUAAAAUACUUCUAAUUAGAAUAUUGGUGUUUUUUUCAGUUUUAUAGCAUUUGUAGCAGAAAUCUUAAUAUUAGUCUGAAGAAUGCAUGAACAGAAACAGUCUGUCAGUAAAAGCAACAAGAAGGGCAACAGAGCAAAGCCACAGGAAAAACCCCAAAACAUUUUGAAAACCAUGGGCACGCUGAUAGCAAUCAAUCAGAGAAGAACUGAGGAAUGUGGUGUUUGCACCACCAAAAAUUUGUGCCAUAGGAAGCCCACAGCAUGGAUUAGCAGAAGACCUGUGCCCUGACAGGGAGAGGAUAGCAGGGAGAUUGCACCACACUCUAUGUGCCCCUUCUUUUCCUGUUAACCCAAAAGGGAAGAUAACUGUAGCCAGGAAGGCACCCACAGCAGGCAAACCCAGGAAACAGCCUGCAAGCUGAGAUUCACCUAGGGUGAGCAGCAAGUUACAAAGAUGACUACCAAUGGCAACUGGCUGUGGGAAGCACACCUUGAGGAACACUUCAAAACUUCUUACAUCCUGCUGGAACAGCAAAAGCCUGCCCAGCAAUAUAAAGAUGAAAAUGAGCUGAGAAUUAAUGUAAAACAGUAAUUCAGAGUAACCUGCCGAAGGGACUGCAGCACUUACAUGAAAGAAACUGAACUCUCAGGAGGAAACUUUAGGAGGGAAUAGGAGAAAGGCUGUGAACUGCAGGCUCACAGAAGGGUUGAGGGAAGGAAGGACCUCUGGAGGUCAUCUCAUCCAACUUGCCCCUGCUCAAGCAGGGCCACCCAGAGCCAAUUGCUCACAGCUGUGUCUGGCUUCUUCUAGCCUUGCUCUGGCAAAUGAGGGGCUCAGUUUGAGGGGAAUAAUUGCAGCUGUCUCACCUCACCCCAGGGAUGCUACAGGACACAGUCCUUUCCUAAACCAUUUCUACAGUGUAUCUUUACUGAAAAGUUCAACCUUUCUUUAAAGUCUUCCAGUCAGAGCCUGGCGGAAUUUGAUGUCAGCUUUUCCGAUGCCACAGUCUGACAAAGGAGAAUUCCAUUUUGUCAGAGCUUUGUUCCCAACUGCCAUAUCCUAGCCUGUAUAAUGUCUCUACCGGGAGCGAGUAUGCAAACAAACAAAAAAAUGCUGCAAAAAUAUUCAGUGUGAAAGAAAGCCACACCCGCCAUCUAGGUCUGUCCAAGUCCAUCUUUUCAACGCAUUUAUAUCCUCAUGUUGCAGGUUUUUCGGCUUAUUAAUUGAAAAUUUGUCUGUGAGAGUCUCUUGCACGUUCGUUACAGUCUUUAUAAAGAUAUUCCUUGCAAAUGCCUUGAGGUCACACUUAAAACCAUGGUGUGAACUGUGCCAGACAAGGAAUUUGUGAAGGAGCUUCUCCCGGGCCCGUGCGUGCCGUCUGCCUCUCCGCGCGGAGCGGUUCCGAGGGGAGCUGCAACCACAGCAGGGCCUUCCCUGACGCCCGGCAGCCGCCACGUCUGCUCUCGGUCACGGCUGAUUCCCACGAGAUGCCACGGCACCAUUUAAUCUGAGUUUAAUCUGAGAUUUUUAACGAUGACUCCUGUACUGACGCAAAAGUCUGCCGGCGCGCUGCCUCGCUGCACAUCUCUCACGAUUCGCUUCCCUCACGGGGUGUCUGCAAUUUUCCCUGGAUCAAAACACUGCCGGUCUCUCCCUGCUGACAGCAGAGCACUUGUUUCUUUAGAGCUCUUCUGCAAAACAAAGUUGCAGUAACUUGGAAAUAAAGGUAGUUUUAGGUUGUGUGAUCUACCUGAAACACCACUCAGGCAGUGAAACAUUGAAAUGGUAAGGAGUUGAAAGUAAAAGGAAAAAAAAAAGGCAAAAAAUGAAGAGUGUGGUUUUGGUUUGCUUUAAGGUUUUUCAGCUUUGAUUCUUGUCAGUGCUACUAGUGCUUUGAUUUCAAUCAGUCUUGAAACAGUCUUGAAAUCUUUAGUAAGACAUUUAAACUGAAAUAGAAAAUUAACACUGGCUCAUCAGUACAGCCCCUCAGUUACACAAAAUCUCCAGUAACAAGUUGGGAAAAGAAGAAUACAAUGACAUUUCUUGUAGCCAUGCAUGAAGUUGGAGAGAAAAACAACCUUUUGCCAAAAGCUAAGUAAAAAUUUCCCCUUCUUUUCACUAUGUUUAUGGUUUCUACCCCUUUUUCUGCUUGAGACAAUAUUUCAGCUGGCUGUCUGGGGGCAUUCUGCAGAGAAUCUCCCACACUGCUGGAUGUGUCCCUGCCUGUCCAUGGCUGGGGAGAAAACAGUUAAGUUCAGCAGCAAAGUGACAAGAGAGGCAGCAGCCUCCGGCAGCCACGGGAACAACAAUUUCUACAGACUAGAGGCUGAAAUUUCAGAGGGAAAUAAUCCCAACUGUCAUAGCCAGGUCAGAGAGCAGGGCCCCAAUGGCACUGGCUUGAGUUUUAAGGCAAAAUGUUACUGGAGACAUGUGUGGACCUGACUUUACCAUCCUCUGAAGUGCCAUAAUAAUGACAUCCACAUACCUGCAAGAAGUAAUAAAACAAAGCAGGAAUUUUGCCUGCACAAAAUGUAAACAUCAAAACAGAUGGCGCAGUUAUGUUAAUCAGUUAAUGUUUGCAGAGUGCUUUGAAGAUGCAAAGCUCUGUAAAGGUACUAAAUACUUACAGUCUUGUCUAGACAUCAUCAAGCUCAUUUUUAGAUUGCAACCUUUCCAGGCCAAACAGAGCCUCUCUCUGUAUAUGGUUGCACUGCUCCUUCUAGCAGCCUCUAAUCUCAGGAUAUAUUUGCAAGAGAGGAAUAACAGAGGAACAGCUCCUGGAGAUGGAAAACCCAAGCCAACAGCUCCUGCUAAAGCAGCAUGAAGCAGCACAGCAGAGGGUAGGGCUCAAUAUCAUCAGGGAAUCAGAUGGAAGUCAAAAUGUACGAUACCGGAUUUCACCAGAGAAACAGGUAAAGAUUGAGGCUGUCACAACACAUAAUCCCUUAAAAAACAUUUUGUCAUGAUGGUGAGAACUGAAUACUUGCACUAACAAGCCCUGAUGAGAAAAACCCAUAUUUGACAGAAUAAACUAUGUAUGUAGACUUAACAGAGCUGUGAGAAGUGCAGAAGCAAUCUUCAUCACCCAUAGUCCAAGUAUGGAAUUUAACAAAGUGAGUUAUGAACAAUGAGAUCACAGAUUUUUUUGAGGUUUGGGAAAAAUCCAUCCAAACCAUUUCAAAACUCACUUUUUAUUUGCUCUAAGGAAUGUGGAAUGCAAAUAAAAUUAAACUCCAGGGGCUUAUUCUGCAAUAAGCAAACCUUCUGUGUCAGACUGCCUUGCAACCUAACCCAAACCUUACUAUUCUGACAUUAAGAAACCACAGAUCUCAGAAACGUUUUCCACUCACAUUUCCUCAUCAGCUCGGACUUUAAAUAGGGAAAGAAGUCUGGUGUUACACAAAAGGUGCAGACAGCUGAAACACGCAAUCCUUAUUCAUACCCUAAAAAUAGACCCUAACUGACCACCCAGUGCAUAACCAGUGCUACUGAGCAUGGAAUUGAAGCUGGAGAUUUCAGUUCAGCUGCCAGCUUGAGGCUAGGUGAGGAGCUGGCAUAUGGAGCCAGCUUCCAAUCCCUCUGACACAGCUCCCUUGACCCAUGCUGAAAUAAAAUUUACAAGAUGCACAGAGGAAUAGCAUCCCUUUCCCCUGAACAGAAGCUCAGCUCUGGUCAGCGGGCUUGGAAUCAGGAUAGAAAAGACUAAAGGAAGAGAGAUGUGUUUGUGUUUAGGAAAUUGUUCCUUUUACCCUAUAAAAUAAAACUUGGGGGUUUUAACCUUUUUGGUUUUUUUUUUUUUAAUUUCCAGAUUGGGGGGAAAGAUGCCUUUAUUCUUGUUCGCACUUUUGAACCAUUCCUCAAAAAUCUACCUUCUUACUGUGCUGGGGGAUGAUACCAGGGGUCUGCAACUAACUCAUAUUUCCAUAAACAGCUGUAUAACAAAGGUCCUGUGCUGUACACUCACUUGAAUCCUAAUGAUAGGUAAGGUUAUUCUCCUGCUUCUGAAUACUUGCACUAACAAGCCUCUUCAUUCAGUUGUUAAACAUUAAUUUCUAAGCAGAAGAAAAACUUUAUUAUAAUUAUAGCUCUUAUUUAUCAACUUGUUCUCAAAUAACUUCUGUCACCUUCCCAAAAAGAAAACUUUAACUGGAAAUGGAUUAAAUUAAUCAAAAAACCUUGAGUCCUUUGUACUGGAAGAGCACAUUAAAAAGCAAUGCCAACACCAUACUGACUUCUUUUCUUUCCAGGGAAAGCACUGCCUCUCCCUCUUUGUUUCAAACAGCAUGUAUAUAUAAUAAGUCAAAUUUUCAGUCUCAUCUUAACUGGGUUACCAACUUUCCUUGCCCAUAAUUUUGCAUAUGCUCAGAUAAUUAUGUCCUGAAAUUUGCAAAUACAAUUACUUGCUGACACACUUUGUUAUCUGAAUGAUAAAGUAUUUGAUUGUAUCCAAUGAAAACAAUAUUAAGAUGGGGAAGCAAACGUGUUUUAGCAAACCUAAUGCACCAACUUAAGCUUCUGUUGUUUUAUGGAAACAUGAUCCUCUAACAGCAUGUCUACACCCUGUAGAGAAGUAUUGUCUGGAGACCUUACAUUAAAAGCAGGAAAGCCACAUCGCUGCAUUACCACGUUUGCACUUGCCUGGUGAGAAAUACAGCUACCCAAGAACAAUCACCUUUUCAUUCUUUCAAAACAGAGAAGUUGGCUUGCAUAAAAAUCAUCAAGUUAAUAAUGACAUAUAAAUGGAGUCACAAAACAACUAACAAAAAGGUGCUGCCAAGUUAAACUAGUUCAGCGUUCAUAUUGUACCUUGCUAUCUGUAGGUUCACUACAUGUAAUAAAACUUCUUGAUUUCUCUCCCUAAGAGAAGAUUUGCAAAAAGUGUUAAAUAAGAACUGAUCAGAAGAGCAACUGUGAAGAUACUGGGAUACAGUUUAGCAGAACUAAGAGGUUUUUGACUGAGUUUAGUUAGAUUUGUCAGUAACUUCUGAAGCUACGUUUAUUUCUCAUUAGUUCAAUUUAGCAGAUCUUCUAUUAUUAAAAUUGAAUAGGAAAUCCUUAAAACUGCACCCUGAGUCUCUGAGAGGGCUGGCCCCCUCUCACCACAGUUUCACAGAGCUCCUGAUGGAUUUCCUAGUGCUCACCAUAAAUGCAAACAAGUAACUGGAAAAUCCAGAUGGGGUUCCACUGUAUUUCAAGAACAGUUAUGACAUAAGACUUUCUUGAUACAGAGCUCAGAUGUGAUGCUGGGGAGAUUACACCAACAACUCUUUUUGGUUAGCAAUUUACAGGAGAGACUGCAAAGUAGGAGUAAGCAGCCUGUCAAUUACAUUUCAAGAUAUUAUUAAUAAAACCCCAAUAUUUUUUUUUAAUUACCAGUGUACAUACAGGCUUUAUCAGUAAGAUCCUGAAGAAAAAACUUUUCAUUAACGAUACUAUUCUCUGUUUGAACAUACUGUCAUCAAUGGAAAAAACUACUUAGAGCCUGGAGUCAUUUGUUUUAGGUCUUGAAAGUGGCACUGAAUAAAAACACAGAGAAACACAGUGAGAGAUAUUUAACAAAUUAAUAUUAUAUGGAAUCAAUCAACAGAAUGUGAGUUACUACUUCAAACUCUUCAGAAAUUGUGGCAGCAUUUCUAUCAGGAGAGCUUAAAUCUUCUUUUUUCUUUAAUUGUAUCUAGUUUCAAAGCCUUCAGGGAUCAUAUGUUUAAGCUUUUCUUUGCAACCCAGAGAGCUGGAAAUUAACCUUUUUAACAGUGAGACCAAAAUUCUUAAGCAUUUCUACAACCAAUAGCCUCGGAAGGCAGGUUUUGAAGAAAAUGCAAAUCAAUGCAUGACUACAGAGGAGGACAGUAAGAGUUGGUAACUGUAAUCCAGCAAGGACAACGCACCAUAAAUUGGAUAUUAACCUCAGCAAGAAUCAAACAGCAAAAUUUCAGUUAAAUCUUGAACAGUGUCAGCCUCCAGCCAUAAUCCAGAGUGUCAGCACUGUGCUGGCCAAACUGAGUGCAUAGUCAGAGGACAGGUAGCCACUGGAAGCCACUCAGAAUUUACAGCUGCACUUGACACUAGUUUAAUGUACAAGGGUCGAGACUCCUUUGUCACCACAACCCCUCAGUGACUGUACUCAGCCAUCCAUGUCUAAAUGCUCCAGCAGCUCAGGAGGAAGCCCACACUUCAUCAGACCCCUUCACAGGACACAUCCUACCAGCACUCAGUCCUUGGCCUCCAGAGACAAGCACAACACUUUUCCUUCCCCAUGGGCUGCCAAGUGUUGCUCCUAAAACCAACCUGAACUCGUGUUUGUAUUCCAGACUUUUGUUCCCACUUCAGCUAUGCAGGAUCAAAAGGUGUUUACUCCUUUGCCUUAGUAGGUUCUACACCAAGGAGAUUUCAGGAAAAUGUGCCAAGACCGCCAAUCAGGGCUUUCAUGUUGUUGUUAGAGCCUAAGGAGGGAUGACACAGUGUGUUUACAGCUCACGCGGCUCUGAGCUCUCCAGUUCCCUGGGCAGAAGAAAGACAGUCAUGACCACAGUCCCCUGAUCGCAGCUUGCAUUUUGUUCAAAUGUUCAAAUCUUUGCAACCUUUCUGCAGUAUUCAAUGCAUUUUGACCAAAAACUGCUCCAGAGUGCAGGCAAAAACAGUUGGGAAAUUGUUAAGCCUCUCCCUAUGCAGUGAGAAUAAAAAUAAGAAAAUACAGGCUUCAUUAAAUAUAAUAAAUGUCUAAGAAAUUCCUCUUUGAGUUGAUACUUUGACUCUACCAACUACAUUCACAGGAGACAACUUAUUUUGGCAUAUAGAGACAAAAAAAAUUGUGUCAGCUCAAGUUAACAUUGUACCACAAUUAUCAGAAAAUUCUAUUUUGACCUUUAAAAAAUAUAGUAUUUCCAGCCUUUCACCCACUCUUAAUUCUAAGCACUGUACAACAGUUCUUGCAAAUUAGACAAAUAUUUUUAUUUUGUAGACAAGGAAACAGGAUAAAAUAUUUAAGUGACUUCUCCAAACCAUUACUAGACCUGAAGAAAAUUUCAGAAGAUCCCAUCCUGACCCCAUCUAGACCCCUAACUUGCAUUAUCCACUAAUCAACAUUCUUGACAGAGUAUGUAAGUAUUACCUAUCACCCCUAUAAAUGUUUACAUUACAUCUACAGAAUGGCUACAUAAGUUGAAUAAAUUGCAGUUAACUAAUCUCUUACUGGGCUGCUUUCCUGUUGGGUCAGCAUUACAGUCUAGGUCACCACACAGCUGCAGGAGAACUGUCACAAGGAAGUGGGCAAGAACAUGUGGCCGGAGGUAGAGAGCAAGACCAAGUGCAGACAGAGAUAAAAUUAGACACAGAGAGCAGACAGUGAUCUAACAAAGUCCUCUGGUUCAGCCACAGGGUACUGUAGGGGUUUUUUUAUUCAUACAUAAAAACACAGAAAUAUGGGGCUGAAGAAUUCACAUAUUAACUUGGCCCACCCUCCUAGUCUAAGGUAAGAACAAGCACAUGCACAUUGCCCGUGGCUGAUGGUUGUCUCAGCUGCUCUCUCCUCUUGUGAGGAUACUGCAUUGAGUAACCCUCAGGUGGCCACUGAUGAUGUUUUAUCAUCUCAGUAAUAGAAAGAUCUGAUAGACUUGUAGCCAAAAUCAGCUCUGUGGCCCAUUAAAUUGAUUUCUUUGCUUCUUCUGCAAAUUAUGGCAAGCUAUUGAUUACUGACACUUAAAUACUGACAUUUUUAUAUCAAAGACUUCUGUCCUUUCCAGUCUCCUUUUUUUUUCUCCAAUCUUUUCUCUGUGGUUACCUAUUUGAAAUCUCUUAUCAUUCAGAACUUGCUCCACUUCAGUUUCGUCUCUUGAAGGGAGGGAACUAAAACCAAAUAGAGUAUCCCUCUGAUGAGUAUCAGUACCAAACACAGCAGCCAAAGACUUCCAUUGUCUGAUAGUUGAUUUACCCUUACAUGCAACAGUAAACGCUGAGUGAAUUCCAACAAUAUAUUUUUAUGUGGAGAAUAAAAUUAAACAUGAUGCAAGUAAAGUCCCUGCUCUACUUUUGAAACAACAUAAUUACACACACAUUCUCACACACAUUAUAAUCUGGGUAGCUGCCUGUCUGACCUACACAUUUCAUUUCUUGUUAUGUACUUUUAUUUAUUCAACAUUCUUCAUUGUUCAGAAACGUUGUGUGCCAUGACCUUGUCACUACAGUCAGGAGACUGAGUAGGAACAUCCUGGAUGAGACAAAAGCUGCACCUGUCAUAACUGCAAGGACUGUCCUUUCAGACGUGGCCUCUCCGGCCACUUCAGAGGAAAGAAAUUAAAAAAGAGAGCAAGGCUCCCAGCAGCAAGGCUUCCAGUGAACAGAAAAGAUGUGGACCAAGUGUCAAAGGUUCACUGCUGCCAUGAGCUAACAUAAGCAGGUGUUUGGGAGAAGGUCUUUUUACUUUGACAGGGCUUCCCAUAUUGCACAUUGCCAGUGGUCAGAGGGACUUGCAUACACAGGUUUUAUUGCCAACUUCAUAUCUUUCUUUCAAAGAUGGACCUGAAAGAACUGAUAACUGCAAGCUGCUAGAAAAACAGGGACGUGGAGAAGUGUCUGCUUAAAAUGGGUACGUGGAUUGAUCAGCACUGGCUCUAAUGCUCUUUGCUUUUUUCCUAAUUAUUUUUCUGACAAGUUCCUGGAAAUACUUGACUGUAGUGGAAAACACCUGCAUUUGCACAGUUCAGGACAGGAAAGACUGGAUGGACAGCACAAGCUGAAGUCACCAACACUGACUCAAAAGUGGAACCAGAGUCUUCAGUCCCUUUGGUCAGGCCUGAGAAACACCAAAAAAUCAGGAAAUCAGUUCAAACAAAGCUAUUUUUAUAUCUUAAGAACCUGCAGAUCCAUUCAUAUUGAUUAUCUGAAUAUUGCAAACUACAUGUUUUCUCAUGACAUGCUACACAUGUUGGGCUUCACUCAAAUUGCUUCUCAUAUCUCAUCAUAGCACAAGCAAUCUAUAAUGUUUUUGCAAAUCAAGGCAAUGGAUUUCCUUUAAUUUCAGCCAGAAGCUGUUGAAGCAGACCAAUAAACAACAGUGCAGUUCCCACUGAGCUCCAAAAAAAGGCUGUAAAUACAUUUAACAACCUUCAGCAUAAACACAUCUUCUGCUUUUAACCCCCACUGAAUACCUUUCAGAAAGUAUUUUCGUUAUGUGUGUAUUUGAAGAGAAGAAAGGCUUUAAAGGACACAACUGAAAUGCCUCUUUCUCCAAUGGACAUAUCCACACUCCCUGCUGCAUCACAUCUCCCAGAUGAAUCAGCAAUCCACAAAUACCAGCAGCUAACCAACAUUCUGAAAAUGAAUUCAGCAAUCAGUCUGAUUAAUUUAACAUUUACGUAUUUUAACGUGGAAACUUUAACUUGGGGAAUACGUGACAACUGGUGGAAGUCACAGCAGCCUGUAAUUGUGUCUUGGUUGGUUGAAGGUAUUUCCAUACA